GCCACAUCACGUUGAAAUACCGGUUCCCGUACGAUCACCAAAGUUAAGCAACGUCAAGCUUGGUCACUACCGAGAUAGGUGGCCGCUUUGGAAUACCAGGUGCUGUAAG